rnacentral:piRNA from 1 species
UAACAGAAUCACCAGAAGAACAAUCUCUAAA